UGUCCCUGCCCGGGAUCGAAUCGGGGACCUUGUACGUGUGAAGCACACGUGAUAACCGCUCGACCUCAGAGAU